AAUUCUCCUGCCUCAGCCUCCCAAGUAGCUGAGAUUACAAACCCCGUCUCUUAAAAAAGGAAAAAAAUCACAUGGCAGAGUAGCAUUUUAAAAUAAAGUCACGAGGCUGGGCGCGGUGGCUCACGCCUGUAAUCUCAGCACUUUGGGAUGCUGAGGCAGGCGAAUCACCCGAGGUCAGGAGUCUGAGACCAGCCUGACCUACGUUGAGAAACCCCGUCUCUACUGAAAAUACAAAAUUACCCGGGCCUGGUGGCGCAUGCCUGUAAUCCCAGCUGCUCAGGAGGCUGAGGCAGGAGAAUCGCUUGAACCCAGGAGGUGGAGGUUGCGGUGAGCCGAGAUCACGCCAUUGCACUCCAGCCUGGACAACAAAAGCAAAACUCCGUCUUAAAAAAUAAAUAAAUAAAUAACAUUAAACUACGUCACUCAGCCUGUGAACAA
rnacentral:lncRNA from 10 species